rnacentral:rRNA from 1 species
GAUGAACGCUGGCGGCGUGCCUAACACAUGCAAGUCGAGCGAUGAAGUUUCCUUCGGGAAACGGAUUAGCGGCGGACGGGUGAGUAACACGUGGGUAACCUGCCUCAUAGAGGGGAAUAGCCUUCCGAAAGGGAGAUUAAUACCGCAUAAUAUUAUCGAGUGGCAUCACUUGAUAAUCAAAGGAGCAAUCAGCUAUGAGAUGGACCCGCGUCGCAUUAGUUAGUUGGUGGGGUAACGGCCUACCAAGACGACGAUGCGUAGCCGACCUGAGAGGGUGAUCGGCCACAUUGGGACUGAGACACGGCCCAGACUCCUACGGGAGGCAGCAGUGGGGAAUAUUGCACAAUGGAGGAAACUCUGAUGCAGCAACGCCGCGUGAGCGAUGAAGGUCUUCGGAUCGUAAAGCUCUGUCUUUAGGGAUGAUAAUGACAGUACCUAAGGAGGAAGCCACGGCUAACUACGUGCCAGCCGCCGCCGUAAAAC